CACCCCCCAGGUCAGAGUGACCUGUUCCUGCAUCUGUGCUCCCCCCACCCUUAGAAGGGCCUUUGUCUUAAACCCUUAUAAAAGGCUUUCUGCCCUUUUUGCAUCACUUGGUCGUCUUCCCUGCGAACGCGGUGCCUGCCCAGCCUGAGAGAGCCGCCAUGAUCUCUCCAUGACUUCUCAUCCCUGUGCUUGGAUAUUACCAAUCCUCUUGGGCCUCCCCGUUCGUCUUCCCCUGCAGGCACUUGCCAGAGGGGUAGAAGUCUUCAGGUGGCUCUGCUGCUGUGUUGGGGUGCAGUCCUGGCCCAGGGUGCAGGUGGAGCAGAUGAAGGAGUUAAUAUUGAUUCUAUUGGAUCCUCUGAAUUUGAAUCAGGGAGAACAUUUUUCUUUUCCCAAUAGUCAUUACAGCCUUACAGCCCCAGCUAGAAGGCACCACGCACCACAUAUCUUAAGGAAUGUAAUCCUAAGGGAUGUGGGAAACAACUGUGAUAAGAAACUAAUGAAGUUCUCCAGAGACCUGCUAAAUAUUACAUGCUAUCCAAGACGAUUAACUUUCUUUGUCUCUAACUUGUAUAAAAGCCACAAGAAAGAUCACUACAGGUGGGCAGCUUGGCGGCUGAUCAAGACUCCUGCCCUCCGUCGGUGCAUAAAUAAAACCUCCUUUUCCUCCCCAGCCGCGUUCCAUGUGCCUGUACAUUAAGCUGUGCCAAGUGACGAGCCCUGAUUUGGGGUGGGGGAAAUCUCAUUAUCAGUUUGUAGCCAGAGAUUGAAGGAAACCUCCAGAAUUGAAAAAUUGGUAAGGGUUGACAACAUGUGCAAGAAGACGGGAUGCAGUUUAAUUUACAGGUGUGACACAGAACCAUCAAUUACCUGCAGUUUACCAAAAGGUGUAAGACAGCAGGAAGACAAUGAACAGGAGCAAGCUGAAAUCUGAUAACCAGCAGGAAUGCCUAUAGUUUUCUACUGAAACACACGGUUUCUCUCUACAGCCACCCUCCUUUGAGCAAAGAUAAUCGCAAAGAAGGAUUAUUGUUGAUCAUUAAACAAGGCUGGUUUGAUUAAAUUCAGCAUGAUAUUUGUAUAGGUGCAG